UUACAAUGAAAAGUGGGCAAUUGACUUAAGCCAAAGAGUAUCCCAAGUCCACAUUGCUACAAAAAACAAAGAAAACAAAAUCAUAAAAACACAAGAAAACAAGAACAAAGAAUUCUGAAAAAAAUCUACAACCUCACAAAGGAAAGUGAUGGUUCAUCUUCUUCAUCUUUAGCAUAUCUUCUCUGGCUCAAGUUGUUCAUCAACUUUAAUGAACAUCAUCUGAGCAAAAAUAGAGUAAUUCUUCCUCCAAUUGAAAUUUUUAUCAACCUAUAUACUAUAUAGAUUGGGUAUAUAUCACCUCGACUCUUAAAAUUAUCAAAAGUGCCAUGAAAUUAUAUUCAUAGAAGACUUCUUCAUUAUCCGUUAAUGUAUUCGUGUAUCUUCACAAGUGAAUGAGCCUGCAUGAGGAUAAUACCACUGAAAAGGAGCAAGAUCUAAAUGAAACAUCUUCAACCCACUCAUUGAAGCUUAGAUCUAGGAAUUGGCAUGAUUAAAGGUUGGUCUUUAAUGAAACAUCUUCAACCGACUCAUUGAAGCUUAGAUUUGGAAAUUAGCAUGAUUAAAGGUAAAAGUUAAAUAAGAAGAUGAGCAAGGAAACUUGAUAAAAAUAUGCUAAGGCGAAGGUGAAAGAGAAGAAAUGUGAGCAAAAUGAACAAAAACUGAAAUUGCAGGCCAAGAAGUCGACCCUCAGUUACCACGAUCGCAGUCUGAGGGCGGCGAUUGCGAUCAGUAAAUAAGUCAAGAGGAGUGCGAUCGCGAUAUGAAUACCGUGAUCACGGUGUCGUGAUCGCGGUCCAAGGAUGGCUAUCGUAGUAGAGCAGAACAGUUCAAGGGAAUUUUUGUAAUAUUUGGCAAAUGUGGAAUUGGGGCUUUAAUAGGAGUUUUAUUUCAUUUUUCACACCAACUUUUAUCUUACAUUAUUUUCCUUUCCUUAAUUUAGGGUUUAUCACUUGGAGCUUGGAGCUUAAUUUUACACUAAUUUGAAGAAAGAAUUAAUUAAAGGAUCUCCAAAGUGUAGAUUUGACAUCUUCCAUUGAAGAUUCAUUAGUGUAAAGUGUGGUUUUCCCUCUUUUUAUUUUUCAUGAAUAACUUUGUUGGAAAUCAUGGUCUAUAUAUGUUAAUUUACCUUAUGAUUUUCUAAA